AUUGAACGCUGGCGGCAGGCCUAACACAUGCAAGUCGAACGGUAACAGGAAGCAGCUUGCUGCUUUGCUGACGAGUGGCGGACGGGUGAGUAAUGUCUGGGAAACUUCCUGAUGGAGGGGGAUAACUACUGGAAACGGUAGCUAAUACCGCAUAACGUCGCAAGACCAAAGAGGGGGACCUUCGGGCCUCUUGCCAUCGGAUGUGCCCAGAUGGGAUUAGCUAGUAGGUGGGGUAACGGCUCACCUAGGCGACGAUCCCUAGCUGGUCUGAGAGGAUGACCAGCCACACUGGAACUGAGACACGGUCCAGACUCCUACGGGAGGCAGCAGUGGGGAAUAUUGCACAAUGGGCGCAAGCCUGAUGCAGCCAUGCCGCGUGUAUGAAGAAGGCCUUCGGGUUGUAAAGUACUUUCAGCGGGGAGGAAGGGAGUAAAGUUAAUACCUUUGCUCAUUGACGUUACCCGCAGAAGAAGCACCGGCUAACUCCGUG
rnacentral:rRNA from 1 species